rnacentral:tRNA from 1 species
AAAUAAGUAAGCUAAUCUAAGCUUUUAGGUUCAUACCCUAACUAUAGAAAUUUAUUUCUCUUAUUUA